ensembl:snRNA U6 U6 spliceosomal RNA
GUACUCACUUCCACAGCACAUAAACUGAAAUUGGAACAGCGCAGAGAUUUGCACGGCCCCUGCACAAGGGUGACACACAAACUCAUGAAGCAUUCCAUAGUUAA